UAUUAUGCUUUCAGAGGCGUUGCAUCUUGCGAGCGACGACAGCAAGGCCAGGGUCAGAGCUAGGGCCAACGGCGUCCUCGACUCCAUCCUCUUCUGCGGUGGAUGCAAUCCGUUCGUCCUUCGCUCUCACCGACGACGAUCCUCUGGGAACGGAAAACGAACGUGUAUCUGCUAGGAUCUUUCUCGACGGGAAAGUCGCGUACUCCUCGAAACAGAAGCCACCGACGACGCGAGGGGUCCUCUAUACGUGCACCGUAACCGGCCCGAAACGGAAGCAACCUAUGUCUACGCUCGGGAAACCGGAACGAAGAGGCGACUCGUUGCUGUUGCGAUCACGUCCGCCGUAGUAACCUUCCGUCUUGGACGCGUGUUUGCGCCGGAUCGCUGUAUAUUUUAACUAGUGACGCGCGGCCCGCGGAAUCUUUCUUCGAAAAAGCCAUAACGGCCAGUGUCUCGCUGCGUAUCGCUUCCGAGAAAAGCGACCAAGCCCGAGCCCUUCGGUGGCCUGUUUCGGGAGCGUUUUUCCUUCGGCGUAGAUCCGCAGGAACGGGGAUCGAGAAUAUGGUCGGAGGAUAAGGAAAUCGGCGGGCGAGGCUCGGAACGGCGCGCACGAUCGAUAGGCGUUCGGUUUCGCAAUCGUUCGAGCGCGAUCGAUCCGAGCUCUCGCGCUCUCGACCGCGAUUCACGGAAUUUUCCCUCGGCCAUUGUCUCUCGCUCUCUCGUUCUCUCGUGCCGCUCCGUCACGGUAAAGCGACUCGGCUCGAUUCGGCUCGACUCGACUCCGGACUCAGUCAACUCGACUCAGUUCGAGGCCUAGGCGCCGAGAUUUUCAGCGCUCAAGGAUUCUCUCGGCGGUGCCGAGCACCGCGGCUCCGGGGGCGCUUAGCUGUGCCGAGCCGAGCCGAGCCGAGCGCUAAGCGCGCAAGGAUUUGCAUAGAAUCCGCGUCUCGCGGAUCGAAUCUCUCCUACGGUCGGACGGACGCGAAUAAGGCCAAUCCUACGAGCGCACCGAGCCUAGAAAGUCCAGCGAAAUUUUCCACUCAGUCCCCGAUCGAUCUCGACCCUGGUCCGGUCAUCUUCCUCUCUCGGCGCCUAAGACGAUCGCGAUCGAGGUCUCCUCCUCCUGCUUCUAUGGCCUAAUGGACAAGACGAGUUUCGUUUAUCUACGAUUUCGACCGGCUCGGAUAGUGGAUAUAGUCGUUCGCGGCCUUAGAAGAAUGCGGCCGAUGGACCAGAAGAGGAGAACAAGGAGAGGGGGAACCCAACUCGCUCGUCCAGCGAGAUUUCGGUGUCGCGCGGACGCAAGACGGCGCGGCGCCUUCGAACCUGCUCCUCCAAGCAAGAACGCGACGGCCGGCCCGUCGAUAAGAUCCUGGAAAAACGAAUGGAAUAUCAUCCGAGGAUCUUCUAUGGAAUGUGCCAGCGUUAAUCUACCUCUGUACCGCACGGAACAGG